rnacentral:rRNA from 1 species
GCAAGUCGAGCGGAUGAAGGGAGCUUGCUCCUGGAUUCAGCGGCGGACGGGUGAGUAAUGCCUAGGAAUCUGCCUGGUAGUGGGGGAUAACGUCCGGAAACGGGCGCUAAUACCGCAUACGUCCUGAGGGAGAAAGUGGGGGAUCUUCGGACCUCACGCUAUCAGAUGAGCCUAGGUCGGAUUAGCUAGUUGGUGGGGUAAAGGCCUACCAAGGCGACGAUCCGUAACUGGUCUGAGAGGAUGAUCAGUCACACUGGAACUGAGACACGGUCCAGACUCCUACGGGAGGCAGCAGUGGGGAAUAUUGGACAAUGGGCGAAAGCCUGAUCCAGCCAUGCCGCGUGUGUGAAGAAGGUCUUCGGAUUGUAAAGCACUUUAAGUUGGGAGGAAGGGCAGUAAGUUAAUACCUUGCUGUUUUGACGUUACCAACAGAAUAAGCACCGGCUAACUUCGUGCCAGCAGCCGCGGUAAUACGAAGGGUGCAAGCGUUAAUCGGAAUUACUGGGCGUAAAGCGCGCGUAGGUGGUUCAGCAAGUUGGAUGUGAAAUCCCCGGGCUCAACCUGGGAACUGCAUCCAAAACUACUGAGCUAGAGUACGGUAGAGGGUGGUGGAAUUUCCUGUGUAGCGGUGAAAUGCGUAGAUAUAGGAAGGAACACCAGUGGCGAAGGCGACCACCUGGACUGAUACUGACACUGAGGUGCGAAAGCGUGGGGAG